rnacentral:rRNA from 1 species
AGCGGAGGAAAAGAAAUCAACAGAGAUUGCCUUAGUACCGGCGAGGGAAGCGGCAAGAGCCCAGAUUGGAAAUCGUUUCGGCGAAUUGUAAUCUAGGAGGCCUUACUCACCAGUCCAGUGCGCAGAAGUGUUCUCGAACGGACCGCCAAAGAGGGUGAUAGCCCCGUCUGUGGUGUUCUGGACUCCAGAGUGAAGUCUUGAAGAGUCGGGUUGUUUGGUAUUGCAGCCCUAAGUGGGGGAUAAACUUCCCCUAAGGCUAAAUACAUGUAGGAAACCGAUAGCGAACAAGUACUGUGAAGGAAAGAUGAAAAGAACUUUGAAAAGAGAGUCAAAAGACCUGAAACUGUUGAGAAGGAAGCGGUGGCAGUGAAUGUGAGAGGCCCCCGGUGUCGUCGGUCUACCGGCGGCUUGGGGACCUUGAUAGGCAGGAUGGGGUAGCGUUUUCACAAAGGCUUCAAGAACCUCGGCUUUCGGGCCAGUUCUGGUAUGUCGGUGGGCGCGUUGCCUGAGGGGCUUAGUGCGAUUCUGCCAAAAAGACUGUCUUCGACUCGUCUUGAAACACGAACCAAGGAGUCUACCAGAUGUGCGAGUGUGGUGGUGGAAAAACCAACACGCGGAAUGAAAGUGAUUGAUGCCAAGCGCAAGCAGCAGCAUCGACCGACCAUGAAUCUAUGAUGAAAGGUUUGAGUAAGAGCAUAUCUGUUAGGACCCGAAAGAUGGUGAACUAUGCCUGAGUAGGGUGAAGUCAGGGGAAACUCUGAUGGAAGCUCGUAGCGAUACUGACGUGCAAAUCGUUCGUCGAACUUGGGUAUAGGGGCGAAAGACUAAUCGAACCAUCUAGUAGCUGGUUCCCUCCGAAGUUUCCCUCAGGAUAGCUAGGACAAUAAUGCAGUUUUAUCAGGUAAAGCGAAUGAUUAGAGGCAUCGGGGGCAAAAUGCUCUUGACCUAUUCUCAAACUUUAAAUUGGUAAGAACCUUGGCCUUUCUUAAGUGAGGCUCGAGGGCUCAAUGCGUGUCCUUAGUGGGCCAUUUUUGGUAAGCAGAACUGGCGAUGAG